ensembl:lncRNA
AGAAAAGCAAAGGACUGUCAAAGGGAACAUUGUGAUGUGUUGGGUGUACCAGGAUCAUGCUAAACGCAAUGCAGCUUCCCCUUGUCUCUCUAAUAUUAAAUCACAUUCAGAGAGUGAGUAGAGUUCAGCUCACAGGUAAGUUUCUGAAAUAAUUGCUUUUUAUAUUCUCAGUUGAAUGAGAAAUCAUUUUGUAUAAUCAAAUAAGACUUUGAUAGUAGUCAGCAUCAACCUUAGCCUCGGUUAUGCUCUUAAAACCCUGUCACAUACUUUCAGUGGGACAGAGCCAUAGGGGAUCUGUUUGCACAGUCCUUUUAAAUUCUAAUAAGUUUCUCUGAAGCGUAUUUCAAAAUACCGGUAGUCCCUCCCCACUGCUUCAGCUCUGGCUCACAGGCAACUCUCCUCUUUCAUCUUCAAACAACUUCAAAGUUUAUUUUUGAAAUAAGGGUUUCUUUUCCCAUGGAAUUCAAAGAGCUUUUCCGCCUUCUGUGAGGGAAGGAGAGCCUGGCUUUCAGGAAUGCACUUAAAAAGCGGCAGAUGUCUUUCUUAGCACCUCCCUGAUAGGCCUUGCUGACCUUCAAAAGCAUUCAAUUUUCUUUACCUUUGUUUUUUGGGCUGGCUUUGCUGGAGGCUGAAGGAGGCUGAUAGCAAUCAGAACGUUUUUCAUUUGGCAGCUGAGAUUUUUCUUCCUUCUUUGAAUUCAAAUCCUCCGGAGACAGGAGUUGCCAGGACUCAGUCUGAUGCUCAGACCACACCCGCCACUGUAAUGAAAGGGGUUCCUGGGGCUGGGCAGCGGCUGCAGCCUGUAAUCCUGGGGCUCAAUCUUGGCAUCCGCCUCAGGGGAGCCCAAGGAGAAUGCAUGUUCUUUCCAGAUUAUUUCAAAAGCAAGUGCACAAUGGACACGGGGGAAAACACAAGAAAUAAGGCUGUCUUGGAGAAACAUCAGGUACCCCUGGAUGACUCUAUUUCCAUAACCAGCUUGACUAUUGCUGGUGGGGUACUCAGGGUCAGAAAGAAGCAUAUUAAUUAAAUCCUAGGCUCUGGAGUUAAGUCCAGGUUCCCCGACUUACUAGUUGUAUUAUUAGGGGCAAUUUGUCUGUAAGUUUCCUUAUUCUCUCAUCUAUAAAAUGGAGAUAACAGUAUCAGCCCACGGGGUGGGAAUGAGGUUCAUGAAGAGGGGCAACGGAAUCAGAGGGAUACCUGGCUUACUCUAAACGUUCAAUAAGUAUUAAUUGAUAUUAUUUAUAAAGCAACAGCCAGCACCUAUUGAUAGAGCCAAGGGUUGGGAGUGAUAGUUGUCUUGUUUUGCUCACUCUGUAUCUGCAGAACCCAGUAGAUUAUGAAGAAAUGGUUGGUAUGGAAUGAAAUCUACCUAAAUCUGUGAGAAACCUACUGGAAAGUACAUUUUUAAAAUGAGGCAUAGAAGGGGCGCCUGGGUGGCUCAAUUGGUUAAGGGCCUGACUGUUGACUUCGGCCCAGGUCAUGAUCUCAGCAUUCAUGAGUUUGAGUCCCACAUUGAGUUCUGCACUGACAGCACGUAUCCUGCUUGGGAUUGUGUUUCUCCCUCUCUCUAUGCCCUUCUCCCGCUUGCUUUCCUUCUCUUAUUCGAAAUAAAUAAAAAUAAACUUAAAAAAAAUGAGGCA